rnacentral:rRNA from 1 species
GAUGAACGCUGGCGGCGUGCCUAAUACAUGCAAGUCGAGCGAACAGACGAGGAGCUUUCUCCCCUGACGUUAUCGGCGGACGGGUGAGUAACACAUGGAUAACCUACCUAUAAGACUGGGAUAAUUACGGGAAACCGUGUCUAAUACCGAAUAAUAUAUUGAACCUGAUGGUGCAAGAGUUAAAUACGGUUUUGCUUUGACUAAUAGACGAAUCCGCCCCCGAUCAGCUAGUUGUUAAGGGAACGGCUUACCAAGGCAAGGAUGCGUAGCCGCCCUGAGAGGGUGAUCGGCCACACUGGAAGUGAGACACGGUCCAGACUCCUACGGGAGGCAGCAGUCGGGAAUCCUCCGCAAUGGGCGAAAGCCUGACGGAGCAACGCCGCGUGAGUGAUGAAGGUCUUAUGAUCGUAAAACUCUGUUAUUCGGGAAGAACAAAUGUGUAAGUAACUAUGCACGUCUUGACGGUACCUAAUCAGAAAGCCACGGCUAACUCCGUG